CAAUAGCGUAUAUUAAAGUUGUUGCAGUUAAAAAGCUCGUAGUUGAAUUUCUGUCAGGAGUGACCGGGCCUUUGGAUGAACUUCCAUUGUUUUUUGCUCUGUUUGUCAUCUCUAGACAUCCUGAAAUAUUUUUUAAAAAUAUUUCUCUUUUACUGUUAGCAAAAUAGAGUGUUCCAAGCAAAGCGUAGUUUUGAAUACAUUAGAAUGGAAUAAUAAGAUAGGACUUUGGUGCUAUUUUGUUGGUUUGCACACUAAGGUAAUGAUUAAUAGGGACAGUUGGGGGUAUUCGUAUUUAAUUGUCAGAGGUGAAAUUCUUGGAUUUAUGAAAGACGAACUACUGCGAAAGCAUUUACCAAGGAUGUUUUCAUUAA
rnacentral:rRNA from 1 species